rnacentral:rRNA from 1 species
AAGCUCGUAGUUGAAUUUCGGGAUCAAAUUGUCGGUCGUGCCUCGGUACGUACUGGCGUUAUUGGCUCCUCCCUUCUGAAGAACCACGAUGUCAUUAAUUUGGUGUCGCGGGGAAUCAGGACUGUUACUUUGAAAAAAUUAGAGUGUUUAAAGCAGGCUCGCGCUUGAAUACGUUAGCAUGGAAUAAUGAAAUAGGACGUUUGAUUCUAUUUUGUUGGUUUCUAGGAUCGACGUAAUGAUUAAUAGGGAUAGUUGGGGGCAUUAGUAUUCAAUUGUCAGAGGUGAAAUUCUUGGAUUUAUUGAAGACUAACUACUGCGAAAGCAUUUGCCAAGGAUGUUUUCAUUAAUCAAGAACGAAAGUUAGGGGAUCGAAGACGAUCAGAUACCGUCGUAGUCUUAACCAUAAACUAUGCCGACUAGGGAUCGGAUGAUGUUAAUUUUUUAAUGACUCAUUCGGCGCCNNACGGGAAACCAAAGUGUUUGGGUUCCGGGGGGAGUAUGGU